UACGGAGGGGGCUAGCGUUGUUCGGAAUUACUGGGCGUAAAGCGCGCGUAGGCGGCUUUGUAAGUUAGAGGUGAAAGCCCGGGGCUCAACUCCGGAAUUGCCUUUAAGACUGCAUCGCUAGAAUUGUGGAGAGGUAAGUGGAAUUCCGAGUGUAGAGGUGAAAUUCGUAGAUAUUCGGAAGAACACCAGUGGCGAAGGCGACUUACUGGACACAUAUUGACGCUGAGGUGCGAAAGCGUGGGUAGCGAACAGG
rnacentral:rRNA from 1 species